rnacentral:lncRNA from 10 species
GGAAGUUGAGCUUCAGGCGCGGCUCUUCCCCGUCACACUGGGACCGGACGCAUUUCCAUGGCGUGGUCCCAGGAACCUCUCAAGAGAGAGAGAGAGAAGAGAGAGAUAUUAAGGAUGAAUCCCAGUGUCUGCUCUGAGCAAAUUGGAAGACGAUGGCAUCAGGGGCACUGCUCUGGGCUAUAUAGACUGUGCCUCCACUAAAGGGUCCCUGAGACCAGGUGUGGGCCCGUAUCCCUGGAGGGAGAGAGUGAACUGAAUUGGAUGCAAGAUCACGGUGCGUCAGAGCUAGCAAGAUCCUUAGGAUCAUUUAGCCUGGUUUACUAAUAUUACACUAUGGAAUUUAAGCCCAAGGAAUGGAGAGUACCCGACGAGCGUUAUGUAAGGAGUCGAGUGAGAAGUAAGCUGGAUGCUCUGCUUGGCUGGCAGGUACAGAAUGUGCCAGACCCAUCUGUACCAGCCUGGAUCUCUUGAGGCAUCAGCACAAUGGACCUGGCCACACCAGUUUAUUCCACACCGCUGAGGCUGG